rnacentral:rRNA from 1 species
AUGGCGACCAGCAGCUCAGUAGUAGUACUGGCCGUCCUGGCCACCGUCGCCGCGCUGGUCUCCCCGGCCAUGUCCCUACCCGUCUUCACCGGCGACGUCGGCGUUUCUCCGGGCUUCCACGCCGCGUCGUGCCCGCAGCUCGACGGCAUCGGCUGCGACGCCUCCAUCCUCCUCAACACCACCUCCGCCCGCGAGACGGCGCUGCUCCCCAACCUCACCAUCAGGUCGCGCGCCAUGCAGCUCAUCGAGUCCAUCCGCGCCAGGGUGCAUGCCACCUGCGGGUCCGUUGUGUCAUGCGCCGACAUCACCCUGCUCGCCACCCGCGACAGCAUCAUCGUGUCCGGCGGGCCCUGGUUCUCCGUGCCACAGGGCAACCUCGACAGCCUGGCCCCGGCGUCACAGAAGAAUGUGUCCGACCUCACGUCGCCCACGAUGGCAAGCAUGGCCGCGCUGGUGGAGUCCUUCCGCACCCGGGGCCUCGGCGACGUGGCCGACCUCGUGGCGCUCUCCGGCGCGCACACCAUCGGGCGGUCGCACUGCGACAGCUUCGCCGACCGGUACCGGCGCGCGGACGACACCUUCUCGCGGAAGCUGGCGGCCAACUGCAGGAAGCACCCGGACCGGCUGCAGAACCUGGACGUGGUCACCCCCGACCUGUUCGACAACGGGUACUACAAGGCGCUGCGGUUCAAGCAGGGCGUGCGCACCUCAGACAUGGCGCUCGUCAAGAAUAAGACCACGGCGGCCAUCGUGAAGCGGUUCGCCCAGAGCAAGCACGCCUUCUUUGGGCAGUUCGCCAGGUCCAUGGAGAAGCUCGCCAGGGCGCCCAAGCUGGCGGGCAACGUGGGCGAGAUCCGGCGCUUCAGCUGCUUCAGGACCAACGCCCAGCGCGCCGACGCCCUGGACGCUGCCGAUGAGGAGGAGGAGGGCUUCGCCGCAUCCGCCUGA